rnacentral:rRNA from 1 species
UACGGGGGGGGCAAGCGUUGUUCGGAAUUACUGGGCGUAAAGGGCUCGUAGGUGGCCAACUAAGUCAGACGUGAAAUCCCUCGGCUUAACCGGGGAACUGCGUCUGAUACUGGAUGGCUUGAGUUUGGGAGAGGGACGCGGAAUUCCAGGUGUAGCGGUGAAAUGCGUAGAUAUCUGGAGGAGCACCGGUGGCGAAGGCGGCGUCCUGGACCAACACUGACACUGAGGAGCGAAAGCCAGGGGAGCAAACGGG